AUUCACUUAGUCUGGUCUAAUUUACUUGCAUAUGAAAAAAGCGCAUCUGGGUGGAGAAAAGUUGCAUGUCUACCGGAAAGUGCAAAAAAAGUCACACUUCACCACUAAAAACAGACGAAGAAAAAUACACCCUGGAGUGGAGUAGAAAUUAGACUGUUUUUGCCACAAAUUCAGGCUAAAAAAAAAAAAAACGCACCUACAUAAA